rnacentral:rRNA from 1 species
CAGUAGCCGCGGGAAUACGGAGGGUGCAAGCGUUAUCCGGAUUUAUUGGGUUUAAAGGGUCCGUAGGCGGACUUAUAAGUCAGUGGUGAAAGCCUGUCGCUUAACGAUAGAACUGCCAUUGAUACUGUAAGUCUUGAGUAUAUUUGAGGUAGCUGGAAUAAGUAGUGUAGCGGUGAAAUGCAUAGAUAUUACUUAGAACACCAAUUGCGAAGGCAGGUUACCAAGAUAUAACUGACGCUGAGGGACGAAAGCGUGGGUAGCGAACAGGAUUAGAUACCCCAGUAGUCCCUGUCUCUUAUAU